AGUGGAAUUGCUGGGUUAUAUGGUAAAUGUAUGUUUAACUUUAUGAGGAACUGCCACAGUGUUUUCCAAAGUGGCUGUAACAUUUUGCUUUCCCACUAGCAGU
rnacentral:pre_miRNA from 1 species